rnacentral:rRNA from 1 species
GACGAACGCUGGCGGCGUGCUUAACACAUGCAAGUAGAACGAUGAAGCCGGAGCUUGCUCUGGUGAAUUAGUGGCGAACGGGUGAGUAACACGUGAGUAACCUGCCCUUGACUCUGGGAUAACUGCUAGAAAUGGUAGCUAAUACCGGAUACGACCCUCGGCGGCAUCGCCAGGGGGUGGAAAGAAUUUCGGUCAAGGAUGGACUCGCGGCCUAUCAGCUAGUUGGUGAGGGAACGGCUCACCAAGGCGACGACGGGUAGACGGCCUGAGAGGGUGACCGGCCACACUGGGACUGCGGCACGGCCCAGACGCCUACGGGAGGCAGCAGGAGGGAAUAUUGCACAAUGGGCGCAAGCCUGAUGCAGCAACGCCGCGUGAGGAAUGACGGCCUUCGGGUUGUAAACCUCUUUUAGUAGGGAAGAAGCGAAAGUGACGGUACCUGCAGAAAAAGCACCGGCUAACUACGUGCCAGCCGCCGCAGUAA